rnacentral:rRNA from 1 species
CACGUAGGGUGCAAGCGUUAAUCGGCAUUACUGGGCGUAAAGCGUGCGCAGGCGGCUUUGCAAGACAGAUGUGAAAUCCCCGGGCUUAACCUGGGAACUGCAUUUGUGACUGCAUGGCUGGAGUGCGGCAGAGGGGGAUGGAAUUCCGCGUGUAGCAGUGAAAUGCGUAGAUAUGCGGAGGAACACCGAUGGCGAAGGCAAUCCCCUGGGCCUGCACUGACGCUCAUGCACGAAAGCGUGGGGAGCAAACAGG